rnacentral:miRNA from 1 species
UGGUGCAAAAGUCAUAGCGGUUUUUGUCAUUACUUUCAAUGGCAAAAACCUCAAUGACUUUAGCACCAACCUCAUA